GUUAGCCGGAGGGAUGAGCACCUGCGCCAGGCCCUGCCAUAUCUGCAGAGCCCACAGCAGCCCUUGAGAGAGGCAGCCGUCAGGUUCAUGGGGGUCGCCGCCUGGCACAUGCAAGACCUGCAGCCCGUCAUGAAGGCCCUGGAAGUCAUGACCGAAGAUGACUGCUCCUCCUACUCCACCAUGCAGACUGCAGUCUUGUCUGCUUUUCGACGGGCAGUAACUAAGUAAUCUUCUCCACCAAGAUAACCAAUGUGCCUGGAACAGCACCGGACAAGAGCAAAGACACCACUUCUCAGCGGUGCUGGGCUGGACCCAACUGAGCCUGACAGCAAGGCCAGGCAGCUCCUGGCCUCUCCAUCCCUAUGUACAGCUCCCUCCCUAUGUACAGCUCCCUCCCUUCCUGCCUAUUCCCUUCUCCUGCCCACAGUUCAUCCCUCCCCUUCCCCUUAGGUUAAGAAGAUUCAUCCC